rnacentral:rRNA from 1 species
AACGAACGCUGGCGGCAGGCUUAACACAUGCAAGUCGAGCGCCCCGCAAGGGGAGCGGCGGACGGGUGAGUAACGCGUGGGAAUCUACCCAUCUCUACGGAAUAACGCAUGGAAACGUGUGCUAAUACCGUAUACGUCCUUCGGGAGAAAGAUUUAUCGGAGAUGGAUGAGCCCGCGUUGGAUUAGCUAGUUGGUGGGGUAAAGGCCUACCAAGGCGACGAUCCAUAGCUGGUCUGAGAGGAUGAUCAGCCACACUGGGACUGAGACACGGCCCAGACUCCUACGGGAGGCAGCAGUGGGGAAUAUUGGACAAUGGGCGCAAGCCUGAUCCAGCCAUGCCGCGUGAGUGAUGAAGGCCCUAGGGUUGUAAAGCUCUUUCACCGGUGAAGAUAAUGACGGUAACCGGAGAAGAGGCCCCGGCUAACUUCGUGCCAGCCGCCGCAGUAACAC